AGCGAAAGAUUUAGCUUUAAAAAAUAGAAGAAUACAUGUAAAAUUUCUAGCCAGUAUUGUGGGACAAAAUAUUUCCUUGUCGAUUAUUUUAGAUAAUUUAACGCAAAUUAUGUCUCGUUUUAUGAGUCAAACAAUAGCUUCCGCGUAUUCCUGGAAUGCGCGAUUGGUGAUAUAACUCCAGACGUUUUUCAGGAGCCUGAAUUUUGGACUUUAAACGUAUAAACUACAACCUUCUUAAAAUGGUGUACAGUGAUGCCAGUAAUUCUGGUUACGGUGGUUAUUGUUUAGAAACACCAGCGGGUAUUUCACAUGGUAUGUGGACAAAAAAGGAAAGCGAAAAGAGUUCCAUAUGGCACUUAUGGGAAAGAGAAUACAGAUUUACCUUCACAGAUUACUGAUCAGUUAUGUUCAAUUCCUAAUUUAUUAGAUGGUUCCAGGGCACAUAACACUUCGAUGAAGUACCAUAGAGGUUACAUUAAAUGGAAAAGAUGGACUGUGUGCAAUGAUAUUCGUUUGAAGCUACCUGUUAAUCCUCUUGUAUUUUCGUUAUAUUUGGCUUAUAUGGUUGAUAAUAAUGUGUCAGUGCAUAGUCUUAAUGAGGCUUUCUUUGGAAUGCGAUGGAUUCACAAUCUAAUGAGUAAACGUUCUCCUACAGAGCAUAUGAUGGUAAAGUACGUGUUUGAAGGCGCUAAACGUAAAUUAAUUAAGCCUACUAAGAAGAAGGAAGUCCUUACUGUAAUCAGCUUAAUCGAAUGUAUGAUUUGCAUUUUGAUCAGAACAAUUUGUAUAAAUGAGAAUUAUUGUUAUUAGUUUAUAAUGUUUUGCGGGAUUUUUUCGUAUUUCGGAGGUGUUGAAUUUAUGUCGUUCUGCUAUUGUAAUAUAUCCUACUUAUAUGUCGAUUUUCGUCGAGAAGUCUAAGACUGACGUUUAUAGAGAUGGGGCGUGGGUUGUUAUUUCUAGGUAACGUUUAUCUGGGGAGAGUCAUACGCAAGAAAAAUCCCAAUGAAAUGCCUUCAACUUUUAAUCACUGACGCUGUAAACCAUAUUAAGGGACUUUUAACUAACUCUUAACCAUUAUGGAACUUAUUGGAAGAACAGUUUUUAAGGCACUGUAUUAUUGAAAUGACAAACCUAAACCUUUUCAAUAUGGCAAAAAAAGGUCAAGAACGUUUACUAGGACUAGUUUGUGAUAACUGCCAAUUUUAAUCCCACGAACGCAAACCACGGAAGUCACAAAUUGAAAUCGGAUUCGUUUUAGAAGGACGGGACCAUCAAACUUACGUAUAUUAAAGUCAAUUUCUGUCCGAGAUCUAUGUCCGAAUCAAGCCACAAAUGAUAGAGAACAGAUUCAUGUCGUGUUCACAGUAACUAGAUUAAAUUGAUUUUUGUCAGGAACUCGAUCUAAUUUUGACAAUUUUAUCGACUUGGAUGUAUCUUAAGUAGCAAACAAGUAGGAAUAUUUGUCACAAGAUUAUCCUAGAUAAGUGCGCCAAGUAGUUCACAAAACAUCUUUUCUGCAGUCAUACUGGCGCCACAUUGAAGCAUUAUUCCAAAGAUAUUGCACUAGAAUCAACAUGGUUAAAUUGAUUUGAAUGAAUAAAGGUUAAUAUUUGAUCUCAUGGAACAUGUAACAAUAUAAGUCGUCGGUCAGAUACGGAAAGCGCAAAGCGCCACAUCCGACGUCCGACAUAUUCUCGCCUGACACAGAUCGUGUUAGCCUUGUUAUCUUCUACUAUUUGUAAUUCUCUUUGGAUUCCUUUUCACGUUGUGUAUUUUCUUCUUACUAUCUCGGUAGUUAAGACGGUUUUCUUACCAGGAAUAACAAUGCAACAGUUCAGUUCUACAUUUUUAUGUCAGGUUGGAUACAUAUGGUUACAAUACAUAAUAGAUUACAUUAGCAUACUUUAGAAUUAACAUUUCCUGUAAAAGUCCAACUAGCAUGGCUAGACUCAGGAAACCGCUACAUCGUAAUAUGGUCAUCUAAAGAACCGAGAAUUCAGCGACAGUCUCUAUGAACUCAGAUGGUCAUACGGAACUCGCAUGGUAUCUGCCCGGAACCCAAUGAUAUCAGGGCCCUUUUUCACAAAAACUUAAAUCUCCUUAAAAUCGUCUUAAACUAAAAUUUUAUCCUAACUUAAGAUAGAGGCGUUUCACAAAAUGAUCUGAAGCAUAUUAGGUAAUAUCCACUAAAAUAAUAUUGUAAGUUAAAAUAGUAUCUUAACUUACAAUAGUG